rnacentral:rRNA from 1 species
UACAGAGGGGGCAAGCGUUGUUCGGAAUUACUGGGCGUAAAGGGGACGUAGGCGGCCAACUAAGUCCGACGUGAAAUCCCAAGGCUUAACCUUGGAACUGCGUCGGAUACUGGAUGGCUUGAAUUCGGGAGAGGAGAGUGGAAUUCCCAGUGUAGAGGUGAAAUUCGUAGAUAUUGGGAAGAACACCGGUGGCGAAGGCGGCUCUCUGGACCGACACUGACGCUGAGGCGCGAAAGCGUGGGGAGCAAACAGG